GGUGGGUUGGCUCAGUGGCUAGAGCUAGGUCUCGUAAAUGAAAGGUUGCGGGAUCGAAUCCCGCUAGAGGCUG
rnacentral:tRNA from 1 species